UUGAUUAUAGCCAACCCAUCAUCCAUCACCUUUUGUACUUCUUAUCAUCCAUCAUAUUUUUCAAAACUCCAUUGUUCUCUUCUUCAACCAUUGAAAUCUGAAGAUCGAAGAUCGAAGCCAUCCCUUCCAACCUUUGAAAUAUGAAGAUCGAAGCCACCAUCAAUGCUCUGCCACCAUCAAAGCUCUCAAAGAUCGAAGAUCAAAGCCACCAUCCCUUCCAACCUUGAAAUCUGAAGAUCGAAGCCACCAUUGAAGAUCGAAGCCACCAUCAAAGCUCUCAAAGAAAAGGAAGCUCGGUGUCAUUUUAAUCACAUCUUUGUUUCUGUUUUUUAGAGAGAGAAAGCUAAUGUUUUGGAAGGAGAGAUAACAAUUUUCAUGUUGUUCACCUAGACACCAAGAACACACGCACAAGUGUGUGAGAGAGAAACAGGUGGAAAGAUGUUUUGUGUUCAAGAUGAAGAUGGUUAUCAAGAAGCGAAACCCGCGGAAGGAUUACAACGCAUCAUCAGGUUUUCGUGGUGACGAUGGUGUUGUUGUGAAGGCAAUUUUUAGAAGACCAUUUUUAGAAGCAUUACAACUAUUGAUAUAAAAUUUAUUUUUAUUUUCAUUGUUAGUAUGCCAAUAUUUGGAUGAAUACGGAUGUUGUUGUGAAGGCAA